UCUUCUUAGUAAAAAGAUAUUUAUUUAAGAAAUGCGGUAAUGGAACAAAAUUUAAAUCGACCUUUAUUUAAUGAAAACUUCGGUACAUUUAUGUAGUUAUCAAUGGCAAUAAGAGCAGAAAUAAUUAUUUACAAAAUAAAUAUUAUUAAUCGUUAUCAAAAUAACUACACAGUUUAUUUAUAACUAAACAAUCUAUUGGAAAAAUAGAAAGUAACAUGGUAGCUUCAGAUUUUAUUGUUUUUGACUUCGUCAAUCCAACAGCGAUAGCAGAACAGCGUUUUUGUCUGGAGAGAUUAUCUAUCUGUAAAGAUACCAUUAAGGAAAUAGUAUUAAGACAAAUUAUUAUACUCAAUGAAAAAAAAUCCAGCUUGUUCUGUUUGGAUUUGGAUUGGUGGCGUAUACUCUGUCAUAAUUUUCAAGGCUCGUUUUUUACUACUUCAAAACUUUCAAACUUUUUAAAAUUGCAGUUGUGAUUUCGAAAAAUGUUUCCAUUUUUGCUGUCUCAUAGUGUUUUUAGCUUUCAAUUUGUAUUUUUUUGAUGUUUUUUAUUUUGUUACGGAAACUUGUUACAUUUAUGAAAUGUUACAGGCUAAUUUAUGCAAUGUUUAAGUUACAGGCUAAUUUAUGCAAUGUUUAAGUUACAGGCUAAUUUAUGCAAUGUUUAAGUUGGAAUUUUUA